rnacentral:tRNA from 1 species
AGGAUUAUAGUUUAUAUUAAAACAUUUGAUUUGCAUUCAAAAAAUAUUAAAAUUAAUUUAUCUU